rnacentral:rRNA from 1 species
AGUGGCGGACGGGUGAGUAACGCGUGAGAAUCUGCCUUCAGGUCGGGGACAACAGAGGGAAACUUCUGCUAAUCCCGGAUGAGCCUCAGGGUAAAAAAUUUAUUGCCUGGAGAUGAGCUCGCGUCUGAUUAGCUAGUUGGUAAGGUAAAAGCUUACCAAGGCAACGAUCAGUAGCUGGUCUGAGAGGAUGAGCAGCCACACUGGGACUGAGACACGGCCCAGACUCCUACGGGAGGCAGCAGUGGGGAAUUUUCCGCAAUGGGCGAAAGCCUGACGGAGCAAGACCGCGUGGGGGAUGAAGGCUCUAGGGUUGUAAACCCCUUUUCUUUGGGAAGAACAAAAUGACGGUACCAAAGGAAUCAGCCUCGGCUAACUCCGUGCCAGCAGCCGCGGUAAUACGGAGGAGGCAAGCGUUAUCCGGAAUGAUUGGGCGUAAAGCGUCCGCAGGUGGCAAUGUAAGUCUGCUGUCAAAACCCAGGGCUCAACUCUGGUCAGGCAGUGGAAACUACAUAGCUAGAGUUCGGUAGGGGCAAAGGGAAUUCCCGGUGUAGCGGUGAAAUGCGUAGAGAUCGGGAAGAACAUCGGUGGCGAAAGCGCUUUGCUAGACCGAAACUGACACUCAGGGACGAAAGCUAGGGGAGCGAAUGGGAUUAGAUACCCC